AGAGAAUGUCCUGGCACAGAAGCCACAGGGGAAUCAAUGUCUGUAGUGAGAUCCUUUCUGCCUUUGCUAUCUGAUAUGGGGUGCUGUGUGCUUCCUUCAGCAGACUACGGUCAGAAGGCCUACACUUCCUCCUGUGUGAAGCCUGAUGGCCACUGCCCACGCGAGUGAGCCUGGUGAGACAUGCAGCCACCUAUCGCAGAAGCAAAGAAGCCGAGCUGGUCAGCUUCCACCUUCCCAGGAACAUGAACACCGGUGGCGGAGAGAGCGGAGCACACCUGCUACCACAAGGACCCGGGUUCAAGCCCCAGUCCCCACCUGCAGAGGGGGAAGCUUCAUGAGCGGUGAAGCAGA